rnacentral:rRNA from 1 species
UGAGUAACACGUAUGCAACCUGCCUGUAAGCGGGGAAUAACCCGUUGAAGACGGACCAAUACCGCAUAAUACUAAAUUACUGCAUGGUAAUUUAUUUAAACAUUUAUGGCUUACAGAUGGGCAUGCGCAUGAUUAGCUAGUUGGAGAGGUAACGGCUCCCCAAGGCAACGAUCAUUAGGGGUUCUGAGAGGAAGGUCCCCCACACUGGUACUGAGACACGGACCAGACUCCUACGGGAGGCAGCAGUGAGGAAUAUUGGUCAAUGGACGAGAGUCUGAACCAGCCAAGUCGCGUGCAGGAAGAAUGUCCUUAAUGGAUUGUAAACUGCUUUUGCAGGGGAAUAAAGUGCAUCACGUGUGAUGUUUUGUAUGUACUCUGCGAAUAAGGAUCGGCUAACUCCGUGCCAGCAGCCGC